rnacentral:rRNA from 1 species
AUUGGACGCUGGCGGCAGGCCUAACACAUGCAAGUCGAACGGUAACAGGAAGCAGCUUGCUGCUUUGCUGACGAGUGGCGGACGGGUGAGUAAUGUCUGGGAAACUGCCUGAUGGAGGGGGAUAACUACUGGAAACGGUAGCUAAUACCGCAUAACGUCGCAAGACCAAAGAGGGGGACCUUCGGGCCUCUUGCCAUCGGAUGUACCCAGAUGGGAUUAGCUAGUAGGUGGGGUAACGGCUCACCUAGGCGACGAUCCCUAGCUGGUCUGAGAGGAUGACCAGCCACACUGGAACUGAGGCACGGUCCAGACUCCUAGGGGAGGCAGCAGUGGGGAAUAUUGCACGAUGGGGGAAAGCCUGAUGCAGCCAUGCCGCGUGUAUGAAGAAGGCCUUCGGGUUGUAAAGUACUUUCAGCGGGGAGGAAGGGAGUAAAGUUAAUACCUUUGCUCAUUGACGGUACCCGCAGAAGAAGCACCGGCUAACUCCGUG